rnacentral:lncRNA from 1 species
CUUUUCCAGAUUGAAAAGGAAGAAAGAAACUUGCUUGCUGUCACUCCCCACAGGCGCCCGUGCUCCAAGACAGCUGUCUUUUGGCCAGCCUCCUGGGCUGCAAGAGUGUGGCGCCAAUGAAUCAAUGUGUCAUCCACAGGGGUGGAAGCAAGUUCCCUGACAGGGAUGGGAGUGUUCUCUCUCACGGCCGCCUGUGAUCAAAAGGAAGGCUGGCAGCCUCUUGACCUUGUAUUUGAUUAUGACUGAAGGCAAUGGCUUAUACCAAUCUGGUAUGUUCUGAGUCAGUUACUCUGCCUGGCUAGCCUCAGUUUCUUCUGUGCAAUGAGAAGAUGGCAGCAUAUUAUUUCCCAAAGUCUCUGUUCGCUAUCCUUUGCAAUUAGAGGCUGAUUUCAUACGAAUUUCCCAACUUGCUCUUUUUUUUCCCCGAAACCCUCAACCAAGCAGGCCUCCAAUGCAAUAUAAGUGCACAUGGACAGUGAUUGCUUCUCCUCUUGACAUGGAUGAAACACCUGAGAAGGUCAUGUUUCCUCAUUUGUUUCCCUUUGGAUGCUCUACAAGUGUCUUCACCUUCUCUCUGUGUUGAAAAACACUGUUCUGUUGACUGGUUUCCAGGUGAAUAAAUGGGACAAGAAACGCUGCUCAUUACUGUAUAGCCCAUGAGCCUGAAUCUGGAGACUGAUCUCUUUAUCACUGUACCCCAGAGGAAGUCAUUGCCAAGCCCUGCAAUCAGAUGGUGGCUUCUCUCAGAAAAGACAAGAAGGAAGAUAAGGGCAAGACAGAAUCAGGGCUGCUUGACACAGAUCUGUCCACUGUCACUUCGAGGUCCCCUCCAACAGGACCUUGAAAACGUACAACACCCUCGAAACACCAGAUUAGUAUCUCCAUUUUAGAGUUUAAAUAAACAACUUGCCUAUGUGGUUAAAAAAAAAUGGGCAUAUGUUACACAACUGCUAACAAAUAGAGGAGUUUAGGCUUGAAUUGGGUUAUUGGACUUCCAUGUCAAUUCCCAUACAUCUGAAACCCAGUAUGACAGACUGCAAAGAGAAUGCACUUCAGUUAGCAUUUGCAUGAUGUUGAAUGAGGCACUUGAGGCUAAAGAGAUGAUACCACUGGCCUUGCUCAAUGUGCCAGCUGUGGUGGGACAGCAGCAGGAGAGGGAAGAGUAAGAAGGAUAUGAUGUCUUGGCUCUUAGGAAGUUAGUUGAGAAGAGCUACCCCAUUUUGUUCAAGUUCACCUGGUUUCCCCAAGCAGAAACCAUAACAGAUUUAGGGCAGAAAAAACAAAACAAAACAAAACAAAACAAAAAACCAAAAAAAAAAAAAAAAAACAAACGAAUGAACAAAUCCUAAGGAUAACAAAUAGAUAAGAAUUUGUCUUCAGUUCUUUGAUUGGUCCAUGAAACAGAUGAUCGUUACUCCUCAUGACUGCUCACCUUCAGGUCUCAGGUACUUAAUGUUGCAAAUAAUGGUUCCAGAUGAAUCAGAACCCAUUGCUCAAAAUUCCAGCCAAUUUGCAACCAUUCAGUAGACAGUUUACACAUCCGUGUCUGAAGCGCCAUAAUGUUUUUCAUUUGCGCUUGGUCUAGGCAGGCUAAGGACAUGCUUCUGUCCAGGGAUUCUGCCCAUUCUCUCACUUAAGAAGAUGAGAAAGUGCCGGGCAGUGGUGGCACAGGCCUUUAACCCCAGAACCUGGGAGGCAGAGGCAGGUGGAUCUCUGUGAGUUCGAGGCCUGCCUGGUCUACAGAGUGAGUUCCAGGACAGGCUCCAAAGCUGCACAGGGAAACCCUGUCUCAAAAAACAACAAACAAACCAAACCAAACCAACCAAACAAACAAAGAAAAUGAGAAGGUAAUGAAAGGCAGAAGAAACUUUGGUUUAUAUUUAGUGUGUAGUUCUGAUGGGACAUAAGGACCACACUAUAGAUGUUUUAAAAUCUAUAAAUUGAAAAUCCAUCUCAAUUUCAAUAAACACAACAGGCAGAAUAAAACAAACAAACAAAAUCUGAUGGCUUUAACAUAACCUUUGUGCCAGGUCCAAAAGAAACUCAGGGAAAUGGCUAACUGUCUAACGAUGGUGACUAUUACCAUACCAAAGUGAUGCUGGCCCUCAGGCUCACUUGGUACCAGUGGCUCCUCUCAGCUCUUCCCACCUAACCACUAUCCUAAAUUUCUCCAAUUCAUAAGUUUUGAUUCCCCCAGCUUCUCAUUCCUAUAUAACCCGGACAUUUCUGCCAUGUGCUCUCGUAGUUAGUUCUGUUGGUCCAUACACAGUUUCCUUUGCUCUCUCCCUUUCAUCUCUUCCUCUCUCACCCUCACCCCCUUCAUGGCCUGGUUCAGCCUACUGGGCAUGCUCAAUGUAUGAGUUUCUCUCCUUGCUCUGGACUCUUCCAGAUGCCUCUUUACUCUGCCUCAUAUUUACAAUAAAAA